GCCCGGAUGGUCUAGUGGUAUGUUACAAAUGGCACCCUCGCAGCCAAUCAUCAUUGCUAAUUCAAAUUCAGGUAUGAUUCUCCGUUUGGGUCGGAGAGGUCCCGCGUUCAAAUCGCGGUUCGGGCC